rnacentral:rRNA from 1 species
CGUAAGGUUUGCUGGAGGUAUCAGAAGUGCGAAUGCUGACAUGAGUAACGACAAAGGGGGUGAAAAACCUCCUCGCCGGAAGACCAAGGGUUCCUGUCCAACGUUAAUCGGGGCAGGGUGAGUCGACCCCUAAGGUGAGGCCGAAAGGCGUAAUCGAUGGGAAACGGGUUAAUAUUCCCGUACUUCUGACUAUUGCGAUGGGGGGACGGAGAAGGCUAGGUGGGCCAGGCGACGGUUGUCCUGGUUCAAGUGCGUAGGCUUGAGAGUUAGGUAAAUCCGGCUCUCUCUAAGGCUGAGACACGACGUCGAGCUACUACGGUAGUGAAGUCAUUGAUGCCAUGCUUCCAGGAAAAGCCUCUAAGCUUCAGAUAGUCAGGAAUCGUACCCCAAACCGACACAGGUGGUCGGGUAGAGAAUACCAAGGCGCUUGAGAGAACUCGGGUGAAGGAACUAGGCAAAAUGGUACCGUAACUUCGGGAGAAGGUACGCUCUUGAUGGUGAAGUCCCUCGCGGAUGGAGCUGACGAGAGUCGCAGAUACCAGGUGGCUGCAACUGUUUAUUAAAAACACAGCACUGUGCAAAAUCGCAAGAUGACGUAUACGGUGUGACGCCUGCCCGGUGCCGGAAGGUUAAUUGAUGGGGUUAGCGCAAGCGAAGCUCUUGAUCGAAGCCCCGGUAAACGGCGGCCGUAACUAUAACGGUCCUAAGGUAGCGAAAUUCCUUGUCGGGUAAGUUCCGACCUGCACGAAUGGCGUAAUGAUGGCCACGCUGUCUCCACCCGAGACUCAGUGAAAUUGAAAUCGCUGUGAAGAUGCAGUGUACCCGCGGCUAGACGGAAAGACCCCGUGAACCUUUACUACAGCUUGGCACUGAACAUUGAACCUACAUGUGUAGGAUAGGUGGGAGGCUAUGAAGACGUGACGCCAGUUGCGUUGGAGCCGUCCUUGAAAUACCACCCUUGUAUGUUUGAUGUUCUAACUUAGACCCAUUAUCUGGGUUGAGGACAGUGCCUGGUGGGUAGUUUGACUGGGGCGGUCUCCUCCCAAAGAGUAACGGAGGAGCACGAAGGUGGGCUAAUCACGGUUGGACAUCGUGAGGUUAGUGCAAUGGCAUAAGCCCGCUUAACUGCGAGAAUGACGGUUCGAGCAGGUGCGAAAGCAGGUCAUAGUGAUCCGGUGGUUCUGUAUGGAAGGGCCAUCGCUCAACGGAUAAAAGGUACUCCGGGGAUAACAGGCUGAUACCGCCCAAGAGUUCAUAUCGACGGCGGUGUUUGGCACCUCGAUGUCGGCUCAUCACAUCCUGGGGCUGAAGUCGGUCCCAAGGGUAUGGCUGUUCGCCAUUUAAAGUGGUACGCGAGCUGGGUUUAGAACGUCGUGAGACAGUUCGGUCCCUAUCUGCCGUGGGCGUUGGAAGAUUGAAGGGGGCUGCUCCUAGUACGAGAGGACCGGAGUGGACGAACCUCUGGUGUUCGGGUUGUGUCGCCAGACGCAUUGCCCGGUAGCUAAGUUCGGAAUUGAUAAGCGCUGAAAGCAUCUAAGCGCGAAGCGAGC